CCUACGGGUGGCUGCAGUGAGGAAUAUUGGUCAAUGGGCGCAAGCCUGAACCAGCCAUGCCGCGUGCAGGAAGACGGCCCUACGGGUUGUAAACUGCUUUUAUGUGAGGAUAAACCUAGAUUUGCGAAUCUAGCUGAAGGUAUCACAUGAAUAAGGAUCGGCUAACUCCGUGCCAGCAGCCGCGGUAAUACGGAGGAUUCGAGCGUUAUCCGGAUUUAUUGGGUUUAAAGGGUGCGUAGGCGGGCUAAUAAGUCAGCGGUGAAAUCACUCAGCUUAACUGAGUAACUGCCGUUGAUACUGUUAGUCUAGAAUAUAAAUGGUGCAGGCGGAAUGAAUCAUGUAGAGGUGACAUUCAUAGAUAUGAUUCAGAACACCGAUCGCGAAGGCAGCUUGCAAAGAUAUUAUUGACGCUGAGGCACGAAAGCGUGGGUAGCGAACAGGAUUAGAUACCCGUGUAGUC
rnacentral:rRNA from 1 species